GGAAGCAGCUUGCUGCUUUGCUGACGAGUGGCGGACGGGUGAGUAAUGUCUGGGAAACUGCCUGAUGGAGGGGGAUAACUACUGGAAACGGUAGCUAAUACCGCAUAACGUCGCAAGACCAAAGAGGGGGACCUUCGGGCCUCUUGCCAUCGGAUGUGCCCAGAUGGGAUUAGCUAGUAGGUGGGGUAACGGCUCACCUAGGCGACGAUCCCUAGCUGGUCUGAGAGGAUGACCAGCCACACUGGAACUGAGACACGGUCCAGACUCCUACGGGAGGCAGCAGUGGGGAAUAUUGCACAAUGGGCGCAAGCCUGAUGCAGCCAUGCCGCGUGUAUGAAGAAGGCCUUCGGGCUGUAAAGUACUUUCAGCGGGGAGGAAGGUGUUGAGGUUAAUAACCUCAGCAAUUGACGUUACCCGCAGAAGAAGCACCGGCUAACUCCGUGCCAGCAGCCGCGGUAAUACGGAGGGUGCAAGCGUUAAUCGGAAUUACUGGGCGUAAAGCGCACGCAGGCGGUCUGUCAAGUCGGAUGUGAAAUCCCCGGGCUCAACCUGGGAACUGCAUUCGAAACUGGCAGGCUAGAGUCUUGUAGAGGGGGGUAGAAUUCCAGGUGUAGCGGUGAAAUGCGUAGAGAUCUGGAGGAAUACCGGUGGCGAA
rnacentral:rRNA from 1 species